rnacentral:rRNA from 1 species
UACGGGGGGAGCAAGCGUUGUUCGGAUUUACUGGGCGUAAAGGGCGCGUAGGCGGCGCAACAAGUCACUUGUGAAAUUUCCGGGCUUAACCCGGAGCGGCCAAGUGAUACUGUCGUGCUAGAGUGCGGAAGGGGCUACUGGAAUUCUCGGUGUAGCGGUGAAAUGCGUAGAUAUCGAGAGGAACACCUGCGGCGAAGGCGGGUAGCUGGGCCGACACUGACGCUGAGGCGCGAAAGCCAGGGGAGCGAACGGG